CAUGGGGGUGGGAUUGGUCAUGGAGGAGGGUGUGAUCACGGGGGAGGAUGCGGUCAUGGGGGAGGGUGAGGUCACUGGUGAGGGAGUAGUCACAAGCCCAGGGAUGCCAAGGGCAGCCAGCAGGCCCCUGAGGCCGACAGAGGCAAAGAAGGCUCCCGCCCAGGGCCUCCAGGGGAAGACAUCCGGCCCCCAGAACUGUGAGGAACACGUGGCUGUUGUUCUGAGCUGUCUCGGUGCUGGUGAUGUGAUGUCACAGCAGUAACAGACCCAGUGACAGGAGGGAGCUGGCCGGUAUUUUGUUGUUCGGCAAUGGUUGUCCCGAGGGUGACUCGGUGUCCACUGUCCCCGGUGACUCGGCAUCCACUGUCCGGGGUGACUCGGCGUCCACUGUCCCGGGUGACUCAGCGCCCAUUCUCUCUUGGAUGACUGACCCUUGGCCUCCCCCAGGUGACUCAGCUUUCUCCUUCAUUCUCCCCCAGUGAUGCAGGAUGGGGAGCCCCAAAUUGGGGUUCAGCCCGGGAGGUUUCUUGGUUUUGCUCAGGAAUGAAUUCAAGAGUCAGCUGGUGGUGGGACAAGCAGCUUUACAGAGGCGCAGGGUCACAGGCCCCCCACAGGCAGGGCGCCGAGGGUAGCCGCGCAGGGCAGUUCUGCUGCCUCAUUUAUACCCACACUGAAUUUCGUGCAGAUGAAGGGGCAGGUUAGGCAGACAUUUCCAGAAAAGGUGGUAACUCCUGGGUUGUGGGGUUGUUGCUGUGGAGAGGUGCGGUCGCCCAACAGUAAACGGACCUGGCCCUGGUGGCCUGUCUCUUGUGGAGGUGCUUUCGCCUCUCCUUGUUUUGUCAGUCCUCAGUCUGGUCUGGAGGUUUGGUCCCCGCCUCUGGCUCUAAGUCCUACCUCCCAUGUUUCCAGGUGGUUCCCCAGUGAGUCGGUGCCUGUCUGCCCUGAGGAUGACCCAGCCCCCGUCCGUUUGUGUGAUGCUGUCUCAAAGUCUCUGUGUCUCUGUCACUCUGAGAACUGAGCCCCUUUCCAUUCGCCAGUCAGUGCUUUGAGGGGCCUCAUGCUCUGCUCUUGACCUGGCCAGAGCCUUGCCUCUUCCCGAACACACAGACUGAUGGGUGACCCUGGGCUGCAGCCACUCGCAGGAGGGUUUGGCUGUGACCCCUGCCACUGUCUUGCCCCAUGGGGGCAGCUUGUUUGAAACUGGAACCGGGAGAGCAGAGCAGGGCUGGGGAGGUGGGCGUCCUCCCAGGUACACCAGGUCCUGUGUUCAGCACUCCUUGAGCCCACCGGUGUUGAUUUGUCUGACCUAAAUCAAAAAAUUUCCUUUUCUACUUAAGCCAGUCUAGGUUAGCUGCUGCCAUGGCAGUGAAGACGGUCCGGUGGGAUAUGCCGCCUGAACUUCAGCACCGCACGUGGUUCCUGGAGCCCAAGUCAGUGGGAGGUUUGUCAUACAGGUCCCCGGCACCUUCCUACAGGUAAGAGCGUCUUUAAUGAGGGUCGCAGACCAGGCUGGAGUCAGUAGGUCCCCGGGAUACCUGCUGCUGGGCGCCGUCUGCCGGCUCCAGGGUUGUCCGACGCUGAGGCACCUUCUUGGCCCAGUGGCCCCCACGCUCUGGGGCCCACGCAGAGGAUCUGAGCUCGUAGAAACUUGAGGACUUCACCUUGCUACAGAGGCAUCACAGCCCUGACGUCACGCAGCUUUGACAAUCUGCCAGGUGUCUAAUCACAGGGACAGAGCGCACCUCAAAGUGGUUUAAGCACAAACAAACAAACAAACAAACAAAAAACAAAGAAAAAACAAAGAAACAGGCGACUCACUGAGAAGAACUGAGAUGAGAGUGACGGUAACAGGCUCCAGGCGUGGCGCGGUCCGGGCGUUCCCACCAUGUCUGGAGUCUGCUGUUCUCCCUCUCCUGGCUUUCUUCUUUCUUCUGGGCUGGCUUUGUGCUCUAGCAAGCUCUGGGGCGGUGGUGCAGUCGGCCCAGCAAGGGUUUAAGGUAGGGUUAGGGGGGGCCCCCCUGCAGAUGGAGGCAGAUGUGGGGCAGCCCCCGUGGGCUGUGCUAGAACCCUGGGGAGAGCGGGAUGGCAGACGGUCCCUGGGGAGAGCGGGAUGGCAGACGGUCCCUGGGGAGAGCAGGGUGGCAGACGGUCCCUGGGGAGAGCAGUGUGGCUGGAGGGUGCCUGGGGACAGUGGGGUGGCCGGAGGGUCCCCACAGAGAGCAGGGUGGCAGAGGGUCCCCGGGAAAAUCAGGGUGGCCAGAUGGUCCCUGGGGAGAGCAGGGUGGCAGAUUGAGGGUGCCCGGCCCCAGAGCCUGAGACUUGGAGGAGUGGACUCGUCUUGGUGGCCCUGGGCCCUCGGCCUCUGCUCUCGGGGGAAGGAGAGCAAAUGCCUCUCUUGUGGAGGUGACUGUUCUUCGGGUCUCUGUCACCUGCAGCCACCCCCAGUGUUAGAGAGGGUGACGCCGGGCCCCGUGUGGGGAGAUGGUCCUACAAGGCGUCCGGAGUGGCGUUUUGUCUGGCCUGUUGGGUGUCUGUGUUCCGGUGGUGGUGUCUGGGGUCUGGUGAAUGAAUUGUACUUAUUUGCUGUCAUCUCGGCUGCGUUUCGUCCGCCGGGUGGUGCACGUGCUUGGACGGCGGAGCUUGGGGGUCUUUUGCUGUCGUCUUAGCUGCAGCCACCUGCUCUCACUGCAGCCACCUGGACCCUCAUCCGGGGCAGCGCCUGGCAUUCUGUUUCCCCACAUUUCCCUCCGUAACAUUGAAAUCGGUUGAAACCUCAAUGAAAACAUUGAAACCUCUUUCCUUUUUCUUCCCUCAAAAAGGGAGCUUCUUAGGAUAAUGCAUUUCACUCUGAAAUAGCAAAAGGCAAGAAGAGGCAAAUAAAGAAAUAAUGAUCCCAGAGUUCUGAGCAAGCAUUAAGGAGGAUUUCUCAAAAGCAAAUCCUGGUGUGGCUGCAUCCCUGACCACAUCCGGCCAUGCUCGAGCGCGCCCAUCACACACAGCUUUGGAAGGCACCUGUCACGAAUCUCCCAUCGGCCUUUCUUCUCCUCAGAGGGGGGCAGGCGUGAAUUUGCAGCCAGAGAAACGGGGGCACCGUGUUCCCAUACGAGGCCCUUCAUGAGCAGACAGGAGCGACGGCUGUGUUAGGGCCUGGACAGGGGAGGGUCAGGAGCGGGCUGAGCUGGACAGGGGGCCUUGGGACCCUGUAACCAAAAUUCUCUCCACACAGCCAUCCUCCUCUUUUUCAGUCUGUGGUUACAUAGAAUUACUUUCACCUAAGCCAGGUGACGUGGCUCGUCCUGAAACUGGAGGCAGCAGCCCUGGGUACGGGGACGCGAGCCAGAGGCUGCAGGGCCGCCCUUGCUGGGUGGACAGGGCCUUGCCCUCACCCGUGCCCUCGGCCGGCUGUGGAUCUCCAGCCCAGCCCUCCUCUCCCUGGCGCCUCCUCCUGCUUUUGUGACAGCUCGCGGGGGCCUUGAGUAGGGACACGCCUGUGAGCCGGGGCUACGGCUCCUCCUGAGUCCCCAGCUCCAGCUCAGCUCACGUGGCCCCUGGUGCUCCGCGCAGCUUACAGGGUGGUUAACCUGGCCCGGGUGCUGUAAGGAGGCCCCGAGGCCAUAGUCGCCACAGCGGCCACCAGAGGCCAUUUGUGCCUCCCCGGAGCCCUUUAGUGAGGGGAGCGUGGGGUCUUUGGUUUCAGAAGAUGAACGCAGGCCGUGUUACAGGCCCCAUCUGCGCACCCGUGAUAGGCGGCCUGUGAUUGUCACUGACACAGUACAAGUUCCAAGCGUAAUUUCGGAAGAGUGCGUGGGUGAGAGCUGAGGGGCAAGCCCCCCCCCAGUCCCGGCCCCGUCACCUGCCAGAGCGACACUUUCCGUCAGCCACCGAGUUUCCCGCCGGCCCGCGGCUGUGCCCUCCUGCCUGCCGCAGGCCUGAGACCCCCACUCCCCUGCCCGCCGCAGGCCUGAGACCCCCACUCCCCUGCCUGCUGCAGGCCUGAGACCCCCACUCCCCUGCCUGCUGCAGGCCUGAGACCCCCACUCCCAGCUAGACAGGGUCGGGGAAAGGCCAAAACUUGGUGCAGGCAGAGGAGCGCCAAGGCCUUUUGUGGCCCUGCAUGGGGUGGGGCUGGGGUCAGCCUGGCUGGACUGACCCCAGGUGGGGCCGGGGCGGGGGCUUCCCGCACGAUUGGAGCUGGGUCUGGAAGCCGGGGGAGGAGCCUGGGGAGUGGGGAGGAGCCCGGCAAACUGUUUUUGCAGGUGCUGGUGCUCUUCCUGCCCUGGGAGGCCCCUCGAAGGUUGUUGCUGGUGUCUGCAGCAGUUCUGAGGAGCAAGAACCCUCCUUGGGUCCCAGGACCCUCUCUCCUCUGCCUCAGCGUCCAGGUGCCCGGACCCAGCUGCCUUGCUGGCGAUCCCCUUCCCUCGUCCUUGCCUUGAGGCCCAGGGCCCCGGAUUUCCACCCUGGAUCACGGUCACCCCCUUCACUAGGACCCGGCCUGUGCUUUUCUCCUGCUCUGAGAAGGCCUGGGUGCUGCCUCGUGUGAGCUGAGGACGAGGAAGGAGGGCAGAGGUGGAGGAGGGACACACUGUCUUCGACAGGGCGGCCACAGCUCUGAGGCCAGGGCUCCAGGAAUCCAGGCUUGCUCUGGGGUCUUUGAUCUCCGUGUUCUGGGGGCUGCAGGAGCCUCGCUCACAUCCUGACACCCCCUUAGCUCCAAUGCCUGCUCUAGCCCCAGUUCAGGGAUUGCACUGUGGUGGCUGAAAUCUUGUUUGUCCACCAGGAAGACCCCCCUGGACCGGGGCCAAUGGCUGACCCCUCCUCGGCCUUUGUUCUCCUUGUGGUACAUUUGUGACCUCUGUGGCCGGCUCAAUGCCACCUGGGCCGUCUAGGCACGUGGCUGUUCCCGGAGCCCUGGGAAUCACUUUGCCUGCACCUGAAGGGCAGCCAGGACAGAGGGGCCUCUCCUGAGGGCGGUGAGCUGCUUUGCUGUGUCAGAUUCAUGGACUGUAAUGAAAUUCAUCAGAUGAGAAACAGACAAAGGAAAAUACGGUGUGAAAGGUGGAGCCGUGUUCCUCUCCUUUAAAAAGAUUUAAAAAACUGUGAACAGGGCGGAAAUAUUCCUUUGGUCAUGACCCAGCAUUAAAAACGUGUAAAAUCCUGCAUGGUUGCUUCCAGCCCCUCUGUGCUUUUCCUCCAUUCAAGGUACUCGAUUGUUUCUGUAAAAAUCACACACGCUCAUUACAAAGAAUUUAAUCAAUGCGGAAAUGUGCCAAGAAAAAAAUGCCUUCGCCCAGGAAAAGCUGGCACUGGUAUCCAGUGAUCGUGACUCCAGGUGAAUAACGGAGGAGCAGAAACACUCUGAACACGCUGCAGAUUGUCCUGCUUUGCAACGUUGGUUUGCACUCUGUGACGAUAAUGCCUGCGCCACUGGGUAUGGGCCGUCUUUCCACAACCCCGUGCUCCCGCGAACACCGUGGCUGCCGCUUCUCUAUUCCUGAAGUUGGAUUCCACUCUGGAUUGCUUUGCCGGCUGGAAUCUGUGUUUUCAGGAAGGGCUCUUGGGUGCUGACGUUCCUUCAUGCUGGAGGGUGAGCACCUCUGCCUGCGAACCAGGUGCUGCCUUAGCUGGGUGUGGCUUCUGUGGCCCUGCAGCCGUUCCCUCCACACCCAGCCGGGCCCUGCAGCCGUUCCCUCCACACCCAGCCGUGGUUUUCCCGUGUCUUUUGGCUCCGAAGACGGAUGGGAACGACUGAGGCCAGUGUGGCUGAUUAUCUUCUUGUAAAUGGUUUACUUUUUGUUGCCUAAAGAGUCUUCUUUACCCUCAGUGCUCAGGGUCGGAUGUUUUCUUUCAGCAUUUUCUGGAAAAUAAUACCCUCUUCAGAUCCGCCAGUCCAGUGUGUUUAUUAUUAUUAUUGUUGUUUUAGAGAAAUUUGUCUUUGGAGACACCAUGUCUUCCACUUGCUGGGCUCUUGACUUCAGGGAAACCCUUUUUCCUUAUGUUGAUUCUUUGCACGUCUUUCAUGUUGAUUAGCUUCUCUCUCGACGUCUCUUUCAUCUACAUUUACUCUGUUGAUUUCAAGAUUUUCUCCUAGGGCGAUAUUUGAUUUUCAGUGACAGAUAAUACGAAAUAGAAAUGAUAAUAGAAUUUGAAAAAUAUAACUCAGUAAAUGCUGGUGACAUUAUGGCUCCAGGCAAGGAUUAUCAACUGGCAUUAAAACAAUUCCGGGAAUGGCAGACGAGGGGCUGUGUCCACAGGGCACCAGUGCAACCCCGUGAAGAUGACCUUCCGGACGCGGGCGUGGCGAGGCGGCUGGAAAUGGAGGAGGCAGCGUGUGCUCGCUCCCUCCCCGGGCUGACCUCGCCGUGGCUCACACUGGUGCUGUCAUUGUUGUGAGGAACUUGACAGACACAGCGCGGCCUGUGGAAAGCGGACACGCCAGACUUCUGGUGAUUUCAGAAAGCCUUUAGAGUAACCUGCAGCGUCCAGAUAACGGCAGAGGUGGAGCUAAGAACACCAGGCAGAGCAACGCGACCGUCCAGCCACCGAGGCGCCUGCAGAACCAGCGUCCGGUGUCCCCUCAGCAGGCCGGACUCUGCUUGGUGGCACGACAGCCCAGGGCCACAUGUAGCUCCCGAUGGGUUCUGCUUUCCACAGACCUACUGCCCGGGACAGUUUUUAGGUCAGUUCAGGCCUGAGUAUUCACUGAGUCAAAACAGUGUGAAACGGAAGGAAGGGGACCGUGCACCGAUCUAAGCAGGCAGCGGUGAGGGGUGUGUGCCGGGUGCCCACGCAGGUGUGGGCUGUGUGAGUGUUCGCACAAGGAAGGGGCUGAAGGGUCUGCACUGUGGAAACGUGGAAUUUUCAUUUUUAUUUUUUUGUCGGAGUCUUACUCUGUCUCCCAGGCUGGAGUGCAGCAGCAUAAUCUCGGCUCACUGCAGCCUCCACCUCCUGGGUUCAAGCGAUUCUCC